GAUGAAGAACGCAGCGAAAUGCGAUAAGUAAUGUGAAUUGCAGAAUUCAGUGAAUCAUCGAAUCUUUGAACGCACAUUGCGCCCGCCAGUAUUCUGGCGGGCAUGCCUGUUCGAGCGUCAUUUCAACCCUCAGGCCCCCAGUGCCUGGUGUUGGGGAUCGGCCCAGCCUUCCUGUAAGGCCGCCGGCCCCGAAAUCUAGUGGCGGUCUCGCUGUAGUCCUCCUCUGCGUAGUAGCACAACCUCGCAGUUGGAACGCGGCGGUGGCCAUGCCGCUAAACACCCCACUUCUGAAAGUUGACCUCGGAUCAGGUAGGAAUACCCGCUGAACUUAAGCAUAUCAAUAAGCGGAGGA
rnacentral:misc_RNA from 1 species